rnacentral:rRNA from 1 species
AGAGUUUGAUCCUGGCUCAGGAUGAACGCUAGCUACAGGCUUAACACAUGCAAGUCGAGGGGAAACGACAUCGAAAGCUUGCUUUUGAUGGGCGUCGACCGGCGCACGGGUGAGUAACGCGUAUCCAACCUGCCCACCACUUGGGAAUAACCUUGCGAAAGUAAGACUAAUACCCAAUGACGUCUCUAGAAGACAUCUGAAAGAGAUUAAAGAUUUAUCGGUGAUGGAUGGGGAUGCGUCUGAUUAGCUUGUUGGCGGGGUAACGGCCACAAGGCGACGAUCAGUAGGGGUUCUGAGAGGAAGGUCCCCACAUUGGAACUGAGACGACGGUCCAAACUCCCUACGGGAGGCA